CAGACAUAUUCAAAAAUCCAAUCCAAGAUUCACAGAAAUAAAAAAAGGCAGUACACUUUUAUUGAGGCUAAAAUAAAACAAUGAGUGAUAUGCACAUUAGAACAUUUGUUCCACUCAGAAGCAGUCAGUGCUCGGCUCUGAGAGCUCCAGAGAACCAGAGAGCAGGAGAGAGUAAAAACAAGACCGAACAUGAGAAACAGAGGUCAUCUGUCGACACGAGGAGGUAUCUGCACUUCAACUGCCUUGGUUGGAUAAAACGGCCCCUCAGAGGUCAAAUGUUCCAGUAUGAUCUCAUAUUCAUCAACACAAUAAUUCAGUUAAAAAAAUAGACAUCAUUAAUGAUCGUCCCUAUCAUACAUUGUCUCUCCAGCCAAGGCAAAGAGCAGCUGAUGAAGGCAGCAGUUGAGGUAUUUGUACUUCAUUCAGUCUACACGUCUGUUGAUCGACCACAGGAGGGAGAGAGGGAGCAGUAGUUCAGACUGAGGAGGGAGGGGUCCCGCCUUCGUCAACAGGAGAGAGUUCGACCACGACUAAAGAUGGAGGAUAAGUCAGGGUUUUAUGGUCUUCUUAUGGAAACCGAAAUGUGGGUUUGGACAGUACGUCAAAACCCGGUGUGCUUUAUAUCAGCCUUUUAUUCCACUUUAAGGAAAUGUGCUUACUCUGUGUAACUUCAGUUCGGCCUGGAUACGAGGAUAAAAGCAAAUCUAACUCUGAAAAUUAGAGAUUUAAUCGCCUACAACAGUUUUGAAAAACAGUCCUAAUUAAUAAAUGUUCUACUUCUUUCCAGUGGGAGGAAAAACUUGCAAAACUUCACAUAUUUUACUGCGUUUAAACCAAAAAUAUAGUUUGACAAAGUUUCCGUCUGAAUGAUCGAUAAUUUGGAGAGUUAUAACUGCUAAAGCUGGACGGUGUGACACCCCAGCACAAAAUUAGAAGGAGAAAAAUAAAGACUAACUUAAAUAUAAUUUAAACUGGUCUUUUUGUUCCUCCUUAAAACUUUUAAGUCAGUAAAAGUGAUAAAAAUUGAUGGUUUCAUUCAAACUAAAAUUCAGUUUUCUCUCCUAAAAGUCUGAAUUUAAAUCAGAACUUCCUGGUUCUGCUCGACCACCAGUUUUCUCCAAAUCCCUGUUUGUAAUUAAAAUUAAUUCAACUUAAAAAAACAGCCUUAAAAUCGAGUAUUUCUCUACAGUCUUUGACUUUCGUACAAAUAUUGGACAAGGACGGCAGAUAUGUUGAAAUUACUAAUUUUUCGUAGUCGUUUAUUGAAUAUUAACUUUAGAUUUUCUUUGGAAAACAGCAGGACUGCAGCGUUUUAACUGGACAGAUAUGAAACUGAAAAUACCUGAAAACUUCCCCUGAUAGAAACAUGAGCAUGAAGACAUUAUCUCGUCCGUACAUGAAGUUUCCGUACAAACUCACAUUAUUCUGGAUCUUAUAAAACGAUGAACGGUGGUUGGUUUUUCAGCUGUGAUCUCUGCUGCUGUUUCCAUAAACUAACGUUCAGUUUUGGAUAAAUUGAUUUAAGGAUACUUUAACUUAGUGGGAUAACUGACUAAAGAUGUGAUUUAUUUUCUACUUUAAUGAAAAACUAAAGAAAAAGACCAUAAACCCGAUUUAUCCUCUUCUCUUCUUCACCUCCACAUAAAAAUAAAAUACUGACAGAAAGGCCCGAACAGACGUUUCUAAAAGUUCAGCUGAUUUUCAGUUUGUCAAUAAAUACCUGUUAUAGUUGAUGUUAUUAGUGGCCGAUUAUUCAUUUGAACACAAUCAUAAAAUCAUCUUACUGCUCUUACGUUUUAUUAUUUCACCAUUUAAACCACCGUGUGGCAGAAACGCCUCACUAUCGUCUCUGGUUUAAGUAUUUUAUUUGAAAUAACUGCGACCACACGCUAGAUUUGUACGUGUUUAUUUCUGCUGAAUAAAAUACUGUGUGAAUUCUUGGUUCAUUUUGACUCGAGCUGAACCUGCGACUGAAACGAAACCUGAUUUCAGAUCCAAAUAUUUCAGCCUGUUCUGAGUGAAACCCUCAGUGAGAGACUCUGCAGCCGUUUCUCGUGUCUGCGUGAUCAUUAACUCGAUCAGAAACAGGUGAUCGUUUUGUUGUCCUAUAUGCAGCCUUGUUAAAACAACACCAGAGUAAACACGACCAGCCAGAGAGAGGGGGUGUGGCCAAUACUGAACAGACUUUAGAGAGGAGAUCAAUCAGUAGUUACAUUGAUUGGAAAAAAUAAAGCUAACAACAACAAUAAUAUCACUAUUUUAAGGUGGUUUAUUUUUGUUCAUAACUGGCAUUAAAAGCAUUAAUUUUCACGUGUCCCCAACAAAGUGAUUCCCAGCUGAGUUCGAGGUGUAAUACUGUUGUCACAUGCAAAAUCAAUAUCUUUGAUCUCAUGAGUUAGUUAGGAAAAAAAAAAAAAGGUACUGAUAACAAUAUCAUCGUAAUAAACAUGUUUUUAGAAUGACGUCGUCUAGGUAAUGUCACCAUUAGUACAAAAUCUACUGAUUUAAGGUUAACUGUUGCCACAUUCAACUACAACUGUAGUCUGCAACGAGAGGGGCCAUCUCCAAACCGCACGACUUCUGAUUAUCUGAGGCUGUAAAAAUGGCCGACAAAGGCCGUCGCCAUGGAGCCGGAGAAGAGGAAAAGAUCGAUUUGGUAACAGGGUCAGACGAACAAAACACAGAGAUAAGCACCCCUUUGUGCGAAGUACAAUCCAAUUCUUCUCCACCUUCAGCCCGUCAUAUCAAGUGGUUACAAAACAGGUAUGAUAAAAUACGAACAAACUCAAAACAACAAUCCAAGUCUCUUCAAAAUGUGGAAUUUCUCAUAUUUCUCAUCAGCUAGCCCGUCACACUGAGGUAAACCAGCCGGAUGUCUGUCAUGAUCUGAGACGUCUGAAAACCUGUGUAAAAACCUUCAAAAAGAGCGUUGAUUGUAAGAGAUAUUUGGAGUCACGAGUGAGGAGCCGUUUCAGGGCCGAUUCAUUGAAAAUGCCGUGUGACUCUAGUGCGACAAAUGGCGAUUUAUUAAAAAGAACGACUGCAUGGAGGAGGUAGAGGGGGCUGGAAGGAGGUAAGGAGUUUGUGGAGGAACAGCACAUAUGAGGUAGGCUUUUGCUGUAAACGAAAAAAAAAAGAAAAGAAGAAAGAGAAAAAAAUGCAGAAAAAGGGGAAAAAAUUAACUCCUAAAAAUGGGAAGGAAGACCAGGGAGUCUGUGGCAACACAAGGGAACUUCUCACACAACACCUCAGUACAACAGAGACCUAAAGUUAAUCAUACAAGCUCAUCAAAAAAUAUACAAAACAAAAAGAAAUGCACAACUAUGUAUAACUCAAGAGGUAGUUGCUAAUAUCAGUACAUGAUCAGUUACAUAUGUCUCUUCAGAGUUGCUUUACAGAGUUUGUUGAGUCAGUCAGUGGAUGAUUCCCAAAAGAAUAAAAUACACUUUUUUGGUUAAUUCCCUGAGAACAGUUCAUCAUCCUGAGAGGAAUUGUGUGUAAAAAUGUAAAAAUACAUCAUCAUACAAAAAGAUGUUGCUUCCAUAAAGAUCUGAGCAUGGGCUGUGCUCCUCAUGUGGUUUGGUCAUUCACUUCUUUUUAUCUCCUGUCAUGCUGCAUUGUUGAGAUUUGAUUUCAAACACUCGCACACAUUCAAAAAGCUGUACAUUAAAAAAAAAAAACAAUAACAACUGCAGUGUUGCACUUUCAGCAAUAAGACUCUUAUUGUGAAAGGGCAAGAAUAGCAAGCACUUCAGCAAGUCUCAACUUUUAAAUGCCUUCAAGAAAUAAAGCCAAACUCUUUGGUAUAGGAAUAUACCAAAAAAAGUUGGUUGUCUACUUAGAGCUUUAAAAAAACACGAGCUAGUUUCAUAUUAUCAUACAAAGUUAUUUUGAUUUGUCAGAACACUUAAGAUACAACUCUGAAGUGAACUUUUGUGAGGUGUCGACUUCAGAUAAGCUCUUUUCACAUUCAAUAUGGUCAGAGAAGAGUUUUAAGGUCACAAAUAAGUGCCACUAAAGCCAUGCUUGGGAGUCAAGUUAUACCAAAAGCAGCACUUUCUUUCUCUCUCUCUUUCUCUCUCUCUGUUUUCAGUGAGUCUAGAGCAGCAGCAGAAGUGACGCUUCACCCUGAACAGAAGUGAGCGGUACCUGGCUGGUGCUGACUAAGACCAAGUAGGCACAGAUGGAAGAGGGACAGGUGGUUGGAUCUCACUGCUGGGAGAGCAAAAUAACAGCUUGACAUUCUGCGACAUUCAUCUUCGAGAGGAAGAAUAGGUGAGGUAUUCGGUAAGUAGAGCAGCUGUGAUGAUACCGAAACCCACUGUGUGAAAAGAUGGACGACGUGACAGCUCCCCGUGAGUGGAGACAAACCUUGGCAGCAGUAAAGGUCAGAGGCUACGUUCACACCGCAGGUUCUGAUCCACAAUUCAGACUUUUGUUCAAUCCGAUCUUUUUGUCCAUGAAGUGGACCGCAUGAGCACAAAGCAGGACGUGACAGAGUGUGUUUGCAGAAGUACAAUCGAACAACGAGAACUGUGUCGAACAACGUUUGUCACAUAUUGAUGAACGCGACCUGAGCGUCACACUGCAGUCACAUCAGAUACAUAUCUGACUUAUAUCCACAUACAGAAGAGGCCUGGGUCGGAUUAGAACCAAUCAGAAUUGACCUGUUCACACUUAGAUGAAAACAUCAGAUAUGAGUCACAGAUGGUUAAAACAUCAGAUUGACCUGCAGUGUGAGCGUAGACUAAGAUGGAACAUAUUCAGAAGUUCUUUAGUCUGUUUGUUCGUCGUUAUUAAGUUGGUGUCUGUGCGGCUGACUGGGAUCUUUUUCAUGUUAUCAGGAAACUAACCACCAAUUUCCACCGCAACCGGAACAGCGACGAAAAGGUCGUAUCCUCCGAUCGUAGCUGAUCGUAACCAUUCAAGUUAACGUGUCAAUUUACACCGACUUCUUUCCGUUCCUCUGCGGAUCGCCGGACUCCUCAGCUGAUCACAAGAGUUCUAUUUUUUCUGGACGCCGGAGCAUGGCGGAUAAAUUCAGCACAGAUUAACCCGUGCUGGAAAGGAAGUCGGGCACAGACACAAAAUAAAACAUCCGGCUUCUUUUCGGAGACGAACAAGUGAAAGGUUUUUAGACGUCAUUUCACCCCGAUGACACCAUGGAUGAGGAGAUGCUGAUUCUAGAAGUCUAGAAGUAGAUUUCCUCCUCUGGAAGGACACAAUCUACUGGUCCUUUCGCACAUUAAACUAUAAUCCAUAAACAUAAGGGAACAACAGAGACCUGAUGGUGCUGUGACUGAGUUUACAGUGAAAAUACAGAUGGUCUGUUGUAUCUGAACAGGUUAGCUUAGAGCUAAAGUUACUUAGCACAGAUGAAAGUUCAAACAAAGACGUUUAUCAAACUGUUAAAGCUCACAAACCAUCGUCAGAUGAGAAAUCCGAC